GUCCUUACCUUCGUCCCUAAUGUUGAUAGGGACCUUCUUACCAGCUGAAGUUGAAGUGAUGCUUAAUAGCAGUAACCUUCCCAAAAAAGAACUGUUGAUAGGCCUGAAUAAAGAUGAAGGGACCUACUUUCUUCUUUAUGGAAUGCCUGGUUUCAACAUCAGUGGCCAGAGUCUCAUCAGCAGAAAUGACUUUCUGAAAGGUGUACCACUAACAAUGACAGAUGCAAGUCAUGUCGCCAGAGAAGCAGCUAUUUUUCACUACACUGAUUGGACUGAUCAGAACAAUGGGAUGAAAAACCGAGACUCACUUGGUAGUCUGGUUGGAGAUCAGCUGUUUUGUUGUCCUGUAUUGGACUUUGCUCACAGGUACUCACAGGGUGGCGGGAAGACCUUUCUAUAUUUCUUUGACCACAUGUCAUCUACAAAUCCCUGGCCAGACUGGAUGGGCGUAAUGCAUGCUUAUGAGAUAGAAUUCAUCUUUGGAAUGCCUCUGAAUGCUACCCUUGAAUACACGAAGAAUGAACUAAACAUGACCAAGAAGUUUAUGAAGCACUGGGCUAACUUUGCCCGGACUGGGAAUCCAGGGCUUGAUGGAGUUGCUUGGCCAACGUUUACCUCUGAACGUCAGGAGUACAUAACACUGAACUACAAUCAUCCAGAACAAAAGAGUAUGAUGAGAGCUAAAGAAUGUCAUCUGUGGAACAAAUUGCUGCCUCAAGUACAGAAGACUUCAGAUGAGCUGCAGUCUUGUAAUGCAAGUGGGAUUAUACUCUGCUGUAAUUGGGGUUUCCUUCUUAUUUUAUCAGUUAUGAGUUUAACCUAUUGACUGAGUUCGGAAGCCUUCUGUCUGUUGAGUCAAUGUGUUCAUAUAUCUGCCGGCUAUUAUCAGACCACCAGUUGAAGCCUAUGGCUUGUUUUCACAUGAGUUCUUCCUUACUACCAUUGUGAAGAACCACCUUUCCUUUGUAAUUAUCCACACAAACAAAAGAAAAGUAAGACAGGCAGUAUUAUUAGUAAUACUGACCAUGUACCUAAAACACUUGCUUAGGUGAAUGAGCAAAAGACCACUUCUUACAGUCCUACAGGUCCAAAUAUUGUCAGUUAAUGGCUAAGCUAAAACACAUGUUUUUUUUCUUUAAUAAAAGGCCUAUAUCAAUGUGGAUACAUUUUUUCUACACUGAUUGAAUUACCUACUAUACAGAUCAGCUAUGGAGAUGGCAUAGGAAAUACAUAUGUUAUUGUGCAGUUGUAACACUGUGGGCUAAACAACUUAAUCCAAUGUGUCAUGUUUUGACUUUUGUUUUUGUCAAACACAAGGAGACACUUGUUUUCUCUUGUGUUUGUAUUUACCUUGCUAUUUAUAGAUUUGAAAUACAAAUGUGAAACUGUGGGACUAAAAACAGAAGGUAAUGAGAUUUGAGCUGAUAAUCAGUAGUUUUAUCUCUCUCUCUCUCUCUCUCUCUCUCUCAGUCUAAUAAAAAUAAAUUCAAGCCCAUUUGUGAUCUCUUAUACAUGUCUCAAUAGCUAUGUUUACAUGGACAAAAGUAAUCACAAAUAAGGGCCAAUCAGUAAAUGCGGCAAUCAGAAUAGUGUUAUCAGAUUAAGCUCAAUCGGAAUUAAAUUUUAAUCUGAAGGAGAUGGGUGGUUUAUGCCAGUUGACAAUCCCAUCGGCAUGCAUGUAAAUGCUUGUCAGGAUCAAGUUAUUCUGAGGGGGAAGAAUGACAGCAAAUAGUGAAAUGUCAAGCUUCAAAUACUGGCAGCCAAUAUAAGUAUCCAUAUUCACAUUUAAGGGUGCAUUGCGCAAGUUUUGAAGUUAAAUAUAAUUUAUUUUCUUUUAAUACAAGUCCUUACAAUUGCCCGACACGUAAAAUAAGUUUUUCUGUAUUUACUGCAGUUGCCUUUAGAAGCUCCAUUUGUCAGUUCAUGAGAAAGUAAAUCAGGAAGAAUUCUCUGGGCGGGCCGGUGGGUGUGACAUGCCGCGCACUCUCGUUCAUCCUGCUACUCUGUUGAGUCUCCGCUGUAAUUGAUGCAUUAGCGAGAGAACAUGGGCUAACUUUAAUAUUUAUGACUUUUUUACCUCAGAAGACACGCCUCACACCUCUAAACAAAAGACUUGUGCAGUCGCAGCAGCAGAUGUUUGUCCUCUCAUCCCAUGCACGUGCACAACACUGAUGUCAUUUCAGCCUGUGGCCUCAGGUGGCAAAAUUGUGCAUAAAUUCUGGAACUUGUGCUAUUCUCCUUAAAAAAAAAAAAAGAUUACCCAUAACAAUCAUGGCCACCAUCCAUUAGAAGAUAAACAUUAUGACAUAUAAUCUAAACUUCCCUGGCUGCAUAAAAUGUAACUUCCCUGGUGGUGAAGGAACGUCCACAGGUUGUUAUACCUGGCUUACCUAGAAAACGCUCUCACUUCAGUUUGUCACCUGGACUAUGUUUCAACCUAUACUUGCCAGGACAAACUAAAAAUGUUUAUGAGGUGAUUAGCGAAGGUACCCUGAGAGUGAAUAUUUAUUUGGAUAUUUGGUUCAGAAUGUGCUAUUAUACAGACAAAAUUAUGUUGGCUCGCUCUUCCUAAAAUGAUUUGCAGAUUGUUGGACCAUUUAUUUUGUUUUGCUUCUGGAUGUCAGUACUUAUGUUAAAUGCAUCUAAAAUUAUAUGAAAUUCGUUACACAGAUACGUUUCUAGCUCUCCAGAAAUAAAAUGAAAUCAAUCCAUCCAUUGUGUACAGUGUUAGUUUUCUGCCACUUUUUAUGUCAUUUGACCCUUUUCAUAUUUUGCUUUGACCACUACAUGGGGUAUGUCGAACUACCCAUGACACUCCUGAAAGCAGCACUGUGAAACUUUUAGCCACCACUAGACCUGUAACUUUGAAGUUUAGUGCCAAUAAAGGGAACUGGCUGUGUCCAGCCAUAUGCUUUUGAGCCGAUAGUUAGGCAUGAAUUCCGGGACAACACCGAGGGAAAUGGAGAGGGGAGUAGUUGUGAUGAUGAUGACGCUAGUAGGCCUACAUCGUUGUCGUCCAACUCAGAAUCUGCUGGUGAAGAGGAUGUUGACCACGAUCCCAACGACUUACAAAUACUGACUGGUAUGUUUUAUGAGUCUAAAUUGCGAGUCUGAUGCUGCUUUAUUUCUUAAUUUAUAUAAAUUAACGGACUGUAAUUCGUGAAUGUGAAGGUUUAUUUAAGCAACUGAACAUCUUAACUCGUUGAUGUUUUUCACAGGCCAGCGUUCAACAUUUUUUCACCGUGCCCGUGGGCUCGGGGUGCCGCAUAUUUAGGGUAGGUAUGUCAUCUGGCCUAAGGUGCAACUUUGGUAUAUUGAAUCCAACUGAUGCAGCGAGAACAGGAUUGACGAUAAAAGAAUCUGCCAUGAACUGAUCCGAACAUAGUUUGCUGUAUCGGCUUGGACGCCACAGAUUGUCCGGUUGAUUUUUGUCUAAUCUAUUCACUUUCCGGAUCCAAAUUUGACGCAAAACCGGGUCAGUCGGAUAAUUAAACAUUCCUUUUCCCGAUCCAAAGCGAUUCUUACAAUUGGCAGCAGUACAAUAGACCAUUGUAAUGACUUUUUAACAAUCCUUUCAGAGUGCUUAACAAUGCGUGAAGAAGUGGUACUCGACACAUGUUCGAGGAUGUUUGACUACACUGACGUCACAGCUGUGUUUUUGUCAUGUGACUGCUCUCGCUGGACUCGCAGAUCGCUGGAGGCACCCAGCAUACUGUAAAAUUCUCGUGAUUUUUAUUACUUGGAGCACUUUUAUCGCAAUUUUGACCAGCCACAUAAAGAAAAAAAAAUUAUAAUCUACCAUCACACAUGAUAAAACUGCUCUAGACACACUCUUUUCUAUUUGCACGUAAACUAGGUUCUGGAUAUUCUAUUUGACAGCUGCGUCACAAGAAUAAAUAAGUGCACACAAAAAAGUAACAAAAACAAGCACCAAACUGGAGAGCUAAGAGAAGCUGCACAUGUGCUCGCUGCCAUCUUAUUAUCUGCUGUAAUAUGGAACACUCCAGGAGAUUUUUCCUGCCCACAGCCAUUAGCGUCUACUACAACUCUUUGAAGACAUCUGCAUAAUAUGAUUUACAACAGCAUUUAAUUUCCUUUUGGGAUUAAUUAAAUCUUUUUAAAUAGAAUUGAAUUGAUGGUAUUAAAGCCAGGUCAGCCUAUAGUGAGAAUAUUUUACCGCAUGCCAAAAAAAAACCACAGUUCCCACAAAAUUAGGAAAUAACGUAGGCAUCUAUUUAACAAUCUCCUGUGUAAUUUAUUAUGAAGAUGUAUUGUUUUGCAGAAUUGUAGUCUGGAUGCAUUGUGACACUCAUAACUGACAUUGCCAUUAAAAUAAGACUAAAACUGGGCAUUUCAAUGGCAAGAUGCAUUUCAAACAUCUCUUUAAGUUAACUGGAAAAUGCCAUUCAAAAUCAUGGCAGAGCAGAAAAUGACUGUGACCCUGACCUUCAUUGUCAGUUGAGACAAAAAGCCCCAUCAUUCAAAAGAGACAGGCAAUUAGGAAGAGCCACAUUUAAAACAGCUCCAAAGAAACAGAAAGCAGUAAAAUGUUUUAGAUUUCACAGAGAAAGAGAGAUGAUGAUGACGGGUAAUGAUAAGGCUUUAAACUACUACGUAUUGCAGAAGUUAGGGGGGGUAAGUCCAGUUGUUUUUGCAGAGAAAAAAAUAACAUCUAAAUCUAAAUUUCUCAUUGCCAAUAAGAGUAAAGGAAAAGAUAAAUGGACAAACACUGCAAAGAAAGCCUGCUGAGUUUGUGCAAUGAGAGCAGAUUUCACAACUGAGUGAUACAUGAACAGGGAGGUUUGCGUUCAUCUGUCCGCUGAUGACCUAAGGAAAGAAAUAUGUGUCAUUCAAUGAAAAUUUAAAAGGGUAUGAAAAGGGGUUAGGGUUAUUAGUAAAAGCAAAUGUGAAAUGUAUUUUGUGGUUUGUUACAGUCUGCACCGAUGAAUUUUUGCAACAAAUGUUUUUUUUUUGGGUUUUUUUUUUUUAUAAUUCUCCAUUUUUCAGUUAUAUGUGUUCUGUUUUAAUUGAUGCAUUGAGUAAUUGGGUACAUGAUGGGUAUGUUUUGAGAGAUAAGGUGAACUUUUCAUCUUGCUUCUAAUAUUUUUGUUUGCUUUGUGCCAGGAACUUUCAGUUCCAAUCAGAAAAAAAAAAUCUGAAAAAAGAGCCAGGCCCGCUAAAUAAGAGAAACUAACUUUCAGAGUCAACUGUCCCAGGUAAGACAAGAGAAAAUGAUUGCAGCAUAAUGUAUAAUGUUUCCAAGGCAUUAUGAAGCUGCCUCGGCUUUCCUAAACAAUUUCAAAAGAUACAUUUUAACACAGACACACAUGGUACUUGCUGCCUCUAUAACCACAAACACAACCACAAUGCUUUAAAUCCUCUAAAUAGCUCUAUUACAUGUGACAUUUGUAAUGUUUUUACGUUCAGAAACCAAUGCAUGUUGCUAGAAUGAGGCCCUUUAUAUCUGCUGCAUGUCAAAACCUUUAGUGACCCUUGAAGAAUACACCAUAAGUAUUUGGAUUGGAUCGCACUACUGCUGGGUUUCUUUGUUAUGUAGCUAAUUCAAAAUGUAUCUUAAUACACUGCUAACAAUGUAAUACAUUACUGACACAUCAGCAGCAAACACCCAUUCAACAUGAUUUGAUUGACCUUUCAGCCACAACUUGCCCUGUUUCAGUUUUUUGAUUUAACAGAAUAGGAUUCAAUGUGAUAUGAGAGGUUAGAGCAGGCAUGUCCAAAGUCUGCCCCGGGGGCCAAAUGUGGCCCGCGUUAAAUUUUCACUGGCCAACGGCUGCAGUCUCUAAUAAAAUUAAUAAUAAUGUACCGAACACCUGUACCAAAAAAAAAGUACCUAAUUUUCCAGCAGAAGGCAGCAGUCCUGUGGCCACACUAUCACCCCAGGCCCCAAACCACCUGCAAUUGGAGCUCAUUGAGCUGCUGUGUGACAUUGAAUGCCACGGUCAACACCAACAGCUCCUUCUUGUUGACUUUUACCACCAACUGGAUAAAGGCAGGUUCCAAGAGAUUGAAACAUUUGCCAAGAAAAUGCUGGGUUUGUUUGGAUCGACAUGAGCUACAACACAUUCUCGGUUAUGAACCUUAAAAUGAACCGAGUGACAACAAAACUAACCGGCUGUCACAUACUUGACAUCUUGCGCUUCAAAACUACUGUCUUUAAGCCAGACCUGGCCUGUAUACUGCAGGCAAGAUCUCAGUAUCACCCUUCACUUUAGUGCAGGCAGGUAUUUGUUUAGUCUUCGGAUGUAAAUAAACUAGAAUUGAUUUCGCAAUUCUUCAGUUUAAAAGCUCAGGUAAAUUAUUUAUUGUGGUGAUCAAAACCACAGCUUAAAAUACAGUUAUUUGUGAUAGAAAUUCAAUGUCAAAUAACUUUUCUAAUUGUCAAUUGAAAAACAAGUGUUACAUAAAUUCAUAUGGCUCUCAGUCUUCUGUAGUUCUACAUAACAAAACUGUUAGUGUUGUUUCAUUGUUCACAUGUUUUGAAUUUGCAAGUUUACUGUGAGCAUUUGAUAAAGCAAACAUUUCAUGUUCAAAAUGAACCUAGGUGCAUGUAAUUUGCCUUUUGUUGGGGUUUUUUGUUUAGAUGUUUUUGCUUAAUUUCCUGUAAUCUGCAGUGAUUUUGAUAAAAAGUCUGUAUUUAUAUGAUGUAAUAAAGUUUGCCAUUUGCAAUUUAAAAAA